UUCAAUGGAGGAAAUGCUCCCGGAUAAUAACGGUGUAGCUGAUGAUAUUGAUUAUUAUACAAGUUUCAUUUGUGUCGGUAUGUAAUUGAGAGGCAAGAUGCUUGAAAGGAUUUUUACUGAGCAGAAGAUAUCUGGAGGACAACUCUGUGUAUAUCGAAUGUAGAAAGAAUGAGCAUGUUUGUGACCCUGGCAGAGGUGCUGGAGUCACGAGGAGCGCCUCUGGAGGAGGACGAGGUCUGGGCUCUCCUCCUAGGUGCUGCAGAAGCCUUGAUAGACAUCUCCAGUAAAGAUCCUGGUAACAUGUGCUGUGUCAUCAGCCCCGGCUCCAUGCUCCUUUCUGCGGUCGGCAGUAUUGCCUUCAAGACCUGCGGCCGAUCUGAGGACGUGGGCUCAUUCACUUCCCCAGAAAUGUCCCAGAGCAACACUUCCUCCAGGAGACAGGCCACGGAGAAGAUGGUGGUUUACUCACUAGGCAUGACUCUCUAUUGGGCAGUAGAUUAUCAACUUCCACAAAAUCAGCCUGUCCAGCUCAGUGGCGACCUGAACAGUCUUUUACUGAGCAUGUGCGAGGAUGUGGCUCACAAACGGGUGAACCUACUGACAGUGCUGGAGACGUGCGAACAACACCAUAAGACUGCUGUCCUGCCCCGGCCGGAGAAAACCAUCAGACAGAUGGCGGAGGAUGUACUGCAGGCUGAAAAAAGCCCAAAUAAUUCUGCUCAUCUCAUAGACCGAAGCCAGAUGGUUAGAGAAAGACUUCGGGGUGCUUCCUGUCAAAACUCAGUUUGGCCUCUAAAAGGGAACAGCACACCAUCACCAGCAGACUUCAGAAGAAGUUUACACCAAAGGAGCAGAAACAGCACAUGGCUGCCCCAAAGUCCUAUUCUUGAUAGACGGCGUCAGUUCAACUCAAGGCCAAAUCAGCUGUUUGGCUCUUCAUUCAGCCUUAAUGAACGGAAAAUAAAGGAUACGGGCCCAGAGUUCAUCAGAAUGCUGGAGGAGCCUCUCGUCGUUUUAGAGCUGCCUAAUUCUAUUGUGUCAAACAAAGGGCGUUCAAGUUCUAACCACAGGGACUUGACGGUUAUGAUGCCAAAUGGACAGAACAUUCUGCUCAAGUGUGACGUCAAGUCCAGAGGACGAGACGUCUUUGAUAUGAUCAUCGCUCAUGCAAACCUCGUGGAGCAUUUUUACUUUGGCCUUGCAUAUAGUGAUGAUAAUGAAUUUUUCUUUCUCGACAACGACACAAAAAUGUCCAAAGUUGCCCCUGCCGCCUGGAAAAAAGUGCCCACUGCCACAUUUGUGCUUCAUUUCCGCAUCAAAUUCUUUGUGACUGACGUCUCUCUCCUUCUACACAAGCUGACCCGUCAUCAGUACUAUCUCCAGCUGAGACGGGACAUUCUGGACGAGCAGCUGCCCUGUAACGAGGAGACCUGCCUGUUUCUUGGUGCCUUGGCUCUUCAGGCCGAGUUUGGGGACAGUAUGCCUGAGGUCUACGGGAAGAACUACUAUCAGCCGGAGCACUACGUCUCCAAGAGUGUUUUGCAGAAAAUGGCAAUGCCUUGCCUGAAAGACGAGUUGCUACGGUUACACGCCAACAAUGCAAACAUGACUGCAGAGGAGGCAGAGCUCGAGUUUCUCAAGAGCGUUCAGCAGCUUCCGGAGUACGGAGUGCUGUUUCACCGCGUGGCCCGUGAGAAGAAGCCUGUCUUUGGAGAGCUGGUCCUGGGAGUCUGUGCCAAAGGCAUCGUUGUGUAUGAAGUUAUAAAUAACUCCCGUACCGCAAGCCAUAGAUUCCACUGGAGAGAGACCAGCAGUAUCAGCUCAGCUCGACGUAAGUUCAUCAUUGAGAGCAGCGCCAGUAAAAAGAAGCAGACGUUUCUAACCGAAAAAUCAAAAGUUGCCAAAUACCUCUGCGACCUCUGCUCCGCACAGCACAAGUUUCACAAGGAGAUGAGCUCUCGCCAGCUCACGAACAGCCUCGCUUCAGAGGAGAGUAUUGUGCAGUAUGCAGCCAUGUGCCGAGCUCAGAACAACGAGGUCGCGCUCAACGACGGACGCCUUGAUGCCGCUGCCGACGACUCCAUGAGCAAACUCUGUGAGGACAUCGCAACCCGCAUCGAAGCAAAGAUCAAACUACAGAGAGACUUGUUAGACCACACCGGAUCCCAAAGUCCAGCUCUCCAGAGAAGCUCUUGUAGCUCUCCAAAGCAUUGCUCUGAAGUCCCUUCAAUGUCCUCUCCUUUAAGAGAUACUCCAACAAGUUCUCGACCUCCAGAAAGGGAAAUAAUCUGCGUUUCCCUCAAAAAGGAUCCCAAAGUUGGCCUUGGUAUUGUUAUUGUUGGAGAAGACAACUCUGGGAAACUGGAUCUUGGCAUCUUCAUUGCAUCCAUUGUACCCGGAGGCCCGGCUGACCGUGAUGGACGCAUCAAACCAGGUGGUCGACUGAUCUCUCUCAACCAGCUCAGUCUGGAGGGCGUGUCCUUCAGCGAGGCCGCUGACAUCAUGCAGAACAGCUCCAAUGAGGUGGAGCUUAUUGUCUCACAGCCAAAAAGUCUGUACAAGCGUGGAGGCGCUGGUCAUCUGACGGAGAGGAACUACGCGUCACAGAGCACCAUACUGGCCGACAGUCGAGCAGGAGACGACUAUCUGGAUGAGCUGGUCAGUGUCAUGAUGACCCCUAAAGGCAGCAGCAGGCUCCACGUUCCUGAGGUUCGCAUUAUAAACGCACAGGAUGAUUAUUCCAGGUCAGCGUCUCUGAUCAGCCUGAGACCUGAAGAGUUUAUUGUGACGCUUCAGAAAUCUGGAGGUAGUCUGGGCAUCAGUAUCACUGGAGGAGUGAAUACAGGUCUCCGUUACGGAGGUAUUUACAUCAAGAGUCUGGUGCCCGGUGGAGUGGCCGAACAAGAUGGACGAAUCCAGACAGGAGACAGGCUGUUGGAAGUGGACGGCACCAGACUGCAGGGAUUCACAGAUCAGCAGGCGGCUGAAUGUUUGGCAAGAACAGGCGAGGUGGUGAGUCUGGUGCUGGAGCGGGACGGAGGCACCGUGCUUCCGCGAGACCCUAUAAACCGGGAGUUACGGGACACACUCACCAUCCGCACACCGAGUCUUGUAGAGACGCAUAUGAGGAACAGCUGCCCUGCCAUCACCAUGACGAGACCCUUCGGCGUCAAGCCCAGAGACUACAGCUUCGUGUCGGAUGAUAACAUUCAGGAGGUGACUCUUAAGAAGAGACUGAACGGUCUGGGCUUCAGCUUCUUCAUCUCAGAGCUGGACACUUCCCUGGACUGUGGCUCUAUUGUGCGAAUCAGAACGCUGUUCCCAGGUCAGCCUGCAGAGGAGAGUGGCAAGAUUCAGGAGGGAGACGUCAUUCUGUCGAUUAACGGACAGCCACUGAAGGGCUUGUCCUAUCAGCAAGUGCUGCAGUUAUUGAGGAAUUCACCUUCAGAUGUGCAGCUGCUUCUCUGCCGUCCUGCUCGAGGAACACUUCCACCUAUAUCCGAGAAAAUCGGCCAACUGACCUGCAGCUGAACCAUGAACGAUGUCACAUGGGCAUUUAAUGAAGGAUUUCUCCUGGGAAAGAAGGUCACAGAGGAAUCCUGGUGCAUUAUGGGAGAAGAUGGAUCUUCAGAGGGGUCCUGUCAAAUACAAAAAGGCUCAGAAGCGGACUGAGUGUUUGAAAUCUUCCAAUCAUCCAUGGUGCCAAUCAUUUCCUGCUCCUUGACUUGACUGGAUAGAAAGCAGCACUGAAGCUCAGUUCCUGCAGUUCCAGAAGUUGUCCACAAGACUUCAACAUGUGUGUUAUCUACAAUAUCUCUCUGAGCUUCAUAACACCCUCAAGUCUUCUCAUCUUCCUGAGGAGAAACAUCUGCAGAAUCCAUUGAAGGACCUGCGGGAGAACAGGAGACGCCGGCGGGCCAGAGGAAUAAAUCAUUCUCCUGUUUCUGUCAAUGGCGGAUCAUAAAAUGCCUAUUCCUCCCAAUAAACGUUCACUUUCAUUUCCACACUGGGAUGGUUUUCGGGGGCCUGAGAUCUUAUAGUAUGGAUGCCGUUUUUUAUUGUGGGGAAACUGUGGAGCGUUCAUGUGACGCCCAGAGCGAGCGGUCACGACUGCAGGGAGGAAGUGAAGCUAAUUUGAAUUAACCUGGAACGAGAACUGACCUCACCAUCUGGAGCGGACCGCACACUGACAAUUUGGCUCAAUUUAAUGCAUCUUUUCUGAAUUUUAACAUCAAUUUCUUUAACAAGAUUUUUUUGAACAAAAUAGAGAGUGACAUUUUUUGUGAAAAAGAAAUAAACAGAUAUUUAGGCCUAUAGUCACAACUUAUUAUUCAAAAAUGAAUGUGUGUGGCCUUUUCAGGCAAAAAACAACAAUUUGCUAAAGCUUUACAAACGCAAAUGAUAUGUUUAUGGCUGAAGUAAAUUACCAGCAGAUGGUGCAAAUGAGGCAUGAAGAGUUAUUUUGAGAAGGACAACAGAUGAAGAGCUUAAAGUGGGUUUUCUUGAGUCAACAAAAUCUCACGUUUCAGUCUGUCAUUUUUAUAAAUCCAUUGUGGAACGUCGGAAGAGACGGGACCAUGUGGCAUUCCAUUUGUAUUAAAGGAAUUAUUCACCAAAAAUAAAAUCAAGAUGUCAUUUAAUGUAGUUUUUUUUUUUUUUCAGUUGAACACGAAAAGAAAAAUUUUAAUGAAAAAGUAUGAUGAAAGCAGUCCAUAGGAAUUUUGCACUAUAUAUAUAUAUAUAUUCCAAGAAUUCUGGA